CAGUUUUAUAAGAUUUGGGUCACAUAAUCUCCUUGUAAAAUGAAACAAAUUGCUGUUUUAAAAAAUAGGGGUCCAUGCACUCGUUUUCAAAUUAAAUCAGUUUGAAUGAUAAAAAUCAGUCGAAAAAUGCAUCUUUUCCCGAUAUGUCAUAGUUUGACGUCGCGAAAAUAACAUUUUACGUUAGCAACGUCAUUACCUUCCCUGUAACUGUAUCGUAUGCCCUUAAGAUAAA
rnacentral:lncRNA from 1 species